rnacentral:rRNA from 1 species
AACGCUGGCGGCGUGCCUAACACAUGCAAGUCGAACGGAGUUGAGGAGCUUGCUCCUCAGCUUAGUGGCGGACGGGUGAGUAACGCGUGAGUAACCUGCCUCUGAGAGGGGAAUAACGUUUUGAAAAGAACGCUAAUACCGCAUAACGUAUUGAAUCCGCAUGGAUAUGAUACCAAAGAUUUUAUCGCUCGGAGAUGGACUCGCGUCCGAUUAGUUAGUUGGUGAGGUAACGGCUCACCAAGACCGCGAUCGGUAGCCGGACUGAGAGGUUGAUCGGCCACAUUGGGACUGAGACACGGCCCAGACUCCUACGGGAGGCAGCAGUGGGGGAUAUUGCGCAAUGGGGGCAACCCUGAACCGCAGCAACGCCGCGUGAAGGAUGAAGGUUUUCGGAUUGUAAACUUCUUUUAUCAGGGACGAACAACGAUGGUACCUGAUGAAUAAGCUCCGGCUAACUACGUGCCAGCCGCUGC